UUCAUCAGCUGCUGUUUGUUGAGCAGCAGGCCUUUAUUCUGCCUGCUGAAACAUUUUCAUUAGAUGGAGGCCUCUGAAGUGCGCUGGCGGCUGGGACCGCGCGAGGACAAAAUCUUAGGCCUCUCCAGAAGCCGGCUGAUUGAAAUCAGCACUGUGUCAGGGGCUGUCAUAUCUCAGAAAAGACAUAAAACACACGGAAACAUCAAUAAGCAACAAGCCUCUGACAGCUCUGAGACAUUCCAGAUGACAAGAAGAGAAAAGGGGAUGUCUUUGGUGCUCAAAGAGAGAGGCAGUAAUGCUGUCACCCAGCAAGAUCACAUCUACACUUGGUGACACACCUUUAGUUGGUGGCCCCACAGACCAAUAAAGGACCACAGACCAGGAAGGACCAAUAAAGGACCAACAAAGGACCACAAACAGCCAGGAAGCUUCACUCUGGGACAUAACUGUGAACACUUUCCAGGAAAGGAAAUGUAAUGCAGGGAGAGAGCACAGUCUACAAUUUAUGGAAGCAGCUUUUAUAAUCCCCAUUCACAGAUGCCUCCAGCAUCAAGCCCCAGCCUUUUAUCCCCAAAGAGCAUCAGCAACAGUUUGUGUUUGCAUAACAAAUAACUGAAGAAUCUACCUUUGAAGACUUAACACUGGCUACGAUAUUCAGUGUAGAAGAGGGCAUUGAUUUCCUGCUGCUUGGUAGUGCUCAGCCUUGAGUCUUCUAAGACAAGAAGGAAAACAUAUCCUGAACUCAUUUGAGAUCCUGAUCCAAUAGCAAAGACAAGCUGAAAACUGCACUUCUACAAAGACAAGCAAAUAUUCUGGAUGCAACUGAGCUAAAUGAAGUUAUUUUACUCAAAAAUCCACCUAAUUGCCACCUUCCUUUCACUGGUCCAGGUCCAAUUCAUACCUUGUGUAGUUUCAUCUAUUUCAGCCAAAUUCCCUCUGCUCCAAGCUGAAUGUGUGGAGAAAUCUGAACAGAGCACAGCUGCAUCCUCUGGUGAGGGUGAUACUCAUCCUGUCUUAAUGGGAGCCUGGGAAUCAUUUCCAGGAGGUGAAGCUGCCAAUGCAGACACCCACAGUCUACAUCUUCCCAUAUUCUUUCUGUUCCAGCUCAACAGAAGUUGUCACAGUCCAGCUUUUCCUUCAAAGCUUGCAACCAGCCAGUUCCAUAUGCAUCAUCUCUUCCUGACUCAAACAGUCAGCCUGACCUCAGUUAUUAGCAAUCACAGAGCUUCUGUGGAGUGUUUUACCCUGAAUCAGAAGAUAGCAGGUUUUGUGAUCAGAAACAUCAGGGUCUUGCUCUUUCCUCUGACCCCAGAAGGUAUGGGAUGUGGAAACGUUAUGGAUACAGUUUAAGGGAAGCUACCAGAAAUUUUAAAAUAUUACCUACUUAUGUAUCAAAAAAAUGCUUUAUAAAUGUAGCACCCUUUCUGUCUCACCUUUGUUAAUAUUAAUAAUAAUAUAACAAACUCACAAAGUUGUCCAACAACUUACAAACCAAAUGCAUCCAAAAAAAUCCACAAGCCACUGUGUAUGAUGCCUAAAUGUGACAAGUUACUCCCAACACAACUGCUUCCCUCACCUUUACUCACACUCAGUAACGCUUACCCUAAUGAGACCCCAUGGAAAAGUCAAUCUCCAUGUGAGACUUGAAGGAUCAGAGUCCAAGUAGCAAAACAUAUUUAAAUGGGCUAAGUUAAUCUUCAGGUUAAUUAAUGCCAUUCUAGGUUUAUUCUAGCAAUAUUUCAUUCUAUUUCAUCCUAGUACUACUCUAUUUCCCCUAAGAACCUUAAUAUUUUUGGGUUAUUUUUAUUACAAAAUUUCAGUCUGCCUGUGGCCUGGUAUUAAUUACUUUGAUAGAGUUAAGGCUUAAUUUACACCAGUGGCUACUUUUUGUGAGCAUAAACACUAGAACAUUUGAUAAAAUUAAAAUUGUCAUUGCCUUGUGAGCUGGUAAGAUUUAACAUGUAAAACAAUAUUGCCAAAGAGAAUUAAAGCCCUUUUUUUUCUAUUUCAUUUAGUGAAGUGAUGCCUUUAUCUGUAGGUUUUUACUUAUUUUUCUUUUAACUUUUAGUGUAUUUUUAACUGCAACUGCAGACCCUCCUAAGUGUUAAAAACCACAAGGAUAAACCCAGGAAGCACUCCAGAUACAUCUCCAGUAGCACAAGACCUGUUCCUCCCACCCCAAUCCCCUUAUAAUUGGUUUUGAUGUUCAAUAUAAGGGAUAAAUGAGUGCCCCUCUCCUGCUUGCUCACAGUAUGCCACAAAACCCUGAAAGGGUUAAUUGGCAUUUUAAGAAAAGGUAAUUGUAAAGCAUAUCUGCUGGGGUUAUCCCCAGAAUUGGGGGGGUGGUGCAUAGGUCUCCCACCCACUGGAGCAUCUCACAUCUUGAAGAGCAUGCUGAAGACAAAAGCACUCCUACUGCUGUUUCUUGAUUUUCACUUUCAGCUCUAACUGCUAACCCCCAACGUGCUCUUUUGAGUUUACUAUAUCAAGCUAGUACUUACAGCAGAGUAUAUGUACUGUGUCUUGACUGUAAAAUUAUA